rnacentral:tRNA from 1 species
GUUUUCGUAGUGUAGUGGUUAUCACGUGUGCUUCACACGCACAAGGUCCCCGGUUCGACCCCGGGCGGAAACA